UUGUAUAGUACCCAAGCAUUGAUGACAGU
rnacentral:sRNA from 1 species